CCUACGGGAGGCAGCAGUAGGGAAUAUUGCUCAAUGGGGGAAACCCUGAAGCAGCAACGCCGCGUGGAGGAUGAAGGUUUUCGGAUUGUAAACUCCUUUUGUUAGAGAAGAUAAUGACGGUAUCUAACGAAUAAGCACCGGCUAACUCCGUGCCAGCAGCCGCGGUAAUACGGAGGGUGCAAGCGUUAUUCGGAAUCACUGGGCGUAAAGAGCGCGUAGGCGGGUUAGCAAGUCAGAUGUGAAAUCCUAUGGCUUAACCAUAGAACUGCAUUUGAAACUGUUAUUCUAGAGUAUGGGAGAGGUAGGUGGAAUUCUUGGUGUAGGGGUAAAAUGCGUAGAGAUCAAGAGGAAUACUCAUUGCGAAGGCGACCUGCUAGAACAUAACUGACGCUGAUGCGCGAAAGCGUGGGGAGCAAACAGGAUUAGAUACCCGAGUAGUC
rnacentral:rRNA from 1 species